AGCAGCCGCCGCGGGAAUACGGAGGGUGCAAGCGUUAUCCGGAUUUAUUGGGUUUAAAGGGUCCGUAGGCGGACUUAUAAGUCAGUGGUGAAAGCCUGUCGCUUAACGAUAGAACUGCCAUUGAUACUGUAAGUCUUGAGUAUAUUUGAGGUAGCUGGAAUAAGUAGUGUAGCGGUGAAAUGCAUAGAUAUUACUUAGAACACCAAUUGCGAAGGCAGGUUACCAAGAUAUAACUGACGCUGAGGGACGAAAGCAUGGGGAGCAAACAGGAUUAGAUACCCCGGUAGUCCCUGUCUCUUAUAA
rnacentral:rRNA from 1 species